CCCUUAGAUGUUCUGGGCUGCACGCGCGCUACACUGGUGCGUUCAGCGAGUUUAGCACCUUAACAGAUAUGUUUGGGUAAUCUUCUGAAAACGCACCGUGAUGGGGAUCGAUUAUUGUAAUUAUUAAUCGUCAACGAGGAAUUCCUAGUAAGUGUGAAUCAUCAGUUCGCGCUGAUUACGUCCCUGCCCUUUGUACACGCCGCCCGUCGCUGCUACCGAUUGAGUGGUCCGGUGAAUUAUUCGGACCGGUGGACUGUGGGGUAACUCGCGGUCUGCUGGGAAGUCUUGUGAACCUUAUCACUUAGAGGAAGCAGAAGUCGUAACA
rnacentral:rRNA from 1 species